GCCGGGGUGGCGGAAUUGGCAGACGCACGGGACUUAAAAUCCCGCGAUGGGUGACCAUCGUACGGGUUCGACCCCCGUCCUCGGCACCA
rnacentral:tRNA from 1 species